AGCUCGCGGGGUGCCGAGCUGCCCGAGACCCCCCAGACGGUUCCGCUUUCCCGAGGGUUGGAGAUGAAAACUUGGAAGGACGUUAAGGACCCAACUUCGUUUACGUGCGUCCUCCUCGUUUUACCUGGGGACACAGGCUUUGGCCGUCACUGAGGGGUCACUGAGGGGCCAGAAUGGCCCGGGGUCGGCUCACUUCCUGCCCUUUCCCGAAGCUGAGUGGGGGGGGGGGCGCCCCGCCACCCGCCACCCGCCACCCGGGCCUUAGCCCUCCAGGCCCCUGGAAGUCCCGCCCUUCACCACUUCAGAGGGAACGUUUUUUCUUAAGGCGGUUAAAUAGAUUCUGUGAUCAAAGAAGGUAGACGCGGCAGAAGAUGAAGGGGCGGGGUGUGUUCUCCAAGCUCUCAGAAUCGCAGAAGCAGGUCCCGGUCGUGGAGCAGAAAAAAGGCACCAAAAUGCAACGCCAGAA